UACGGAGGGGGCAAGCGUUAUUCGGAAUCAUUGGGCGUAAAAGGGCGCGUAGGCGGCUUCAUAAGUCUUGGGUGAAAGCCCUCGGCUCAACCGAGGAAUUGCCUUGGAUACUGUGAAGCUCGAGGCUGGAAGAGGAGAGUGGAAGUUCCUGGUGUAGCGGUGAAAUGCGCAGAUAUCAGGAGGAACACCGGUGGCGAAGGCGGAUCUCUGGGCCAUUACUGACGCUGAGGAGCGAAAGCGUGGGGAGCGAACAGG
rnacentral:rRNA from 1 species